AUUGAACGCUGGCGGCAGGCUUAACACAUGCAAGUCGAGCGAGUGGCGGGCGUGUGAGUAAUGCGUGAGAAUCUAUGUUAUGGGGGGGGAUAACUACGAGAAACUGUCACUAAUACCGCAUCCUCUACGAUGAGCCCAUGUGGGAUUAGGUAGUAGGUGGGGUAAAGGCACACCAAGGCGACGAUCUCUAGCUGGUCUGAGAGGAUGACCAGCCACACUGGAACUGAGACACGGUCCAGACUCCUACGGGAGGCAGCAGUGGGGAAUAUUGAACAAUGGGCGCAAGCCUGAUGCAGCCAUGCCGCGUGUGUGAAGAAGGCCUUCGGGUUGUAAAGCACUUUCAGUGGGGAGGCGUUACCCGCAGAAGAAGCACCGGCUAACUCCGUGCCAGCAGCCGCGGUAAUAC
rnacentral:rRNA from 1 species